GGCAAAAGCCCCUGUGUUUCUACUGGGAAAAAAUGUGUUCUUACUGACAGCUUAUUUCACUCAAUCCAAGGAGAUGUUAAAGGAGAAAGAUUGCUACAAGUUAUGCUGCUAAAAGACCAAUUCUGCCACAGCCAUUCAUAUCAGAGCACUUUCCUGAGUUUAUCAUCCCUUCCACAAAUUACUCCUUGGCUGAAACAGGAGAGAUGUUUUGUCGAUGCAAAACGUCCUUGAAAUAAAGAAAUCUGAAGAAAAUUAAAGAAAUGAAAACUGGAAAGAAGGGAAAAAGCAGUUAUUUCAAGGAUGCCCUUUGCAACUCCAACUUCAAAAAGAAUGUUUGCAUCGGGUUCUCGCUCAAGGAAAACUGCAUCAGUCUGUGCUUACUGCACUGGGAUUAAAUCCAAUAUGUAGUCUGAUUAAUGAAAUCACAGUAAGGAAAAGGAGACAGCUACCCCAGCUGGGCUAUGGAGGUUGAAGAGCAAAGGAAGUGAGCCUGGAGAGGCAGAGACAUUGAAGAACAUCUACCCUGUGAC
rnacentral:lncRNA from 1 species